rnacentral:tRNA from 1 species
GUGCCUGUAGCUCAAUUGGAUAGNNGGAUCAGAAGGUUGGGGGUUCGACUCCCUCCAGGCACGCCA